rnacentral:misc_RNA from 1 species
GUCCCAAAGGACUGUAUGCAACAAUACCAAUGCCAAGUUCUCUGCAAGUAGGAACUAUCUCUUCUUCCACAUCUCUCGACCACAAAGACCACUCCAACUGCACAGCUGUUAUAGGGUGAACAGCAUGAGCUCUUCUGAUUGUUGAGGCAGAGGCCUCAGAUAGACCUAUAUACUUUAUUUUACCCUCUUCAACUAGUUUCUUGAGUUCCC